rnacentral:rRNA from 1 species
AUUGAACGCUAGCGGGAUGCCUUACACAUGCAAGUCGAACGGCGUGGCGAACGGGUGAGUAAUGUAUCGGAACGUGCCCAGUAGCGGGGGAUAACUACGCGAAAGCGUAGCUAAUACCGCAUACUAUUGGCGCGGCCGAUAUCGGAUUAGCUGGUUGGUGGGGGAACGGCUCACCAAGGCGACGAUCCGUAGCUGGUUUGAGAGGACGACCAGCCACACUGGGACUGAGACACGGCCCAGACUCCUACGGGAGGCAGCAGUGGGGAAUUUUGGACAAUGGGGGAAAGCCUGAUCCAGCCAUGCCGCGUGUGUGAUGAAGGCCUUCGGGUUGUAAAGCACUUUUGGCAGGGAAGCGGUACCUGCAGAAUAAGCACCGGCUAACUACGUGCCAGCAGCCGCGGUAAUUC